rnacentral:rRNA from 1 species
GACGAACGCUGGCGGCGUGCCUAACACAUGCAAGUCGAACGGGGAGUUAUUUAUAACUCCUAGUGGCGAACGGGUGAGUAACGCGUAGACAACCUGCCUCUAAAUUGGGGACAACACCGCGAAAGUGGUGCUAAUACCGAAUGUGGUAACUUGGUCGCAUGACUAGGUUAAGAAAGAUGGCCUCUAUAUAUAAGCUACAGAUUAGAGAUGGGUCUGCGUCUGAUUAGCUAGUUGGUGAGGUAAUGGCUCACCAAGGCGACGAUCAGUAGCCGGUCUGAGAGGAUGAACGGCCACACUGGGACUGAGACACGGCCCAGACUCCUACGGGAGGCGGCAGUGGGGAAUCUUCCGCAAUGGACGAAAGUCUGACGGAGCAACGCCGCGUGAGUGAAGAAGGUCUUCGGAUUGUAAAGCUCUGUCGUUUGGGACGAACGUGGAUUGUGUGAAUAAUGCAGUCUAAUGACGGUACCAAAGGAGGAAGCCACGGCUAACUACGUGCCAGCCGCCGCGGUAA